UUGUUAGUCUAAGUUUAAAGUAAGACCAAAAAAUAAUGAGUUAAAUGAAAGGGUCGAAACAACUUUUAUAGGUAGAUUUUUUAAGACUCCUUCCCUUUUAAUAGUAUUGAUAAUUAAAAAUAUAGUAACAAAUAAAAUAUAAAAUACAUAAUAUGACAAACUAACAAAAAGUUCAUACUUUGGAUAAUAUGCUUCAACAUUCAACGUUCCAGAGCUUUGGAAUAGAUUGUAAGGAACUGAUUGCAAUGAUAAAAAAACUUCAUGCUUGGUCAAGCUUUACGACAUAAUUGGAAAGGAUAGAGACGCUACAAAUAUAUUUCCUGGACUUCAACAUCAUUCAUGUUCAACGAGCGCGGAAACAAAUUUUAGACUUUUUAGAUAAGACUACUAGAUUCUUCCAUAGGAAGUUACAUUUUAUUAGUUGUUCAAUUCCAGUCUGGUUACCCAGACCAUCUCAAGUUUAAAAAAUAGAAUAGCUUUUUUGACGUCAAAAAAAAUGUUCGUAAAUCACAAAUUUAAAGAUUUGGUGUUGCCAAAAUUUAGGCAAUAAUAAUUAAAUAAUUAAAGGAUUAUUUAAUAUAUAUUUUAGCUUUUACCUAGAAUUAAGUUACGGCUUGACAUUAAAAUUCUCAGAUGAAAAUACAAAAACUUUAUGUAUGUAAGUGAUUACUAGUAGGCCUGGGACGGAUCCAGAUAUACGGAUAUUCAGGAUACCUGGAUCCGUGAAUUUAAUAUCCGGAUCCGGAUUCGUGGCUUCCGGAUAUCCGGAUUUCAGAUAUCCGUCCAGAUAUUCUAUUACCCGCGGAUAUCCAAAUCCAGAAAAACAAUUAAAAAUAAUAAUUUUUUUAAAAUACUAAUCUUUUAAUAUAAUACAUAAAUUAAAUAUUUAUAAAUAUAUUAUAUAUGUCUAUAAUAUUGUAAAAACUAAAAUAUAUAUUAUAAGAUUAUCAUGUAUAAUAUAAUAUAUCAAAUAUAAUAUUAAUAAAACUAAAAAAAAUAUUGUGUUUUAAAAAUACGGAUCCAGAUCCGGAUAUCCAGACUUAAAAUUAAGAUAUCCAGAUUCAGAUUCGGUUUGGACGGAUCCAAGAUUUUAGUAUCCUGAUUCGGAUCUGGGCACCCUGAAUAUCCUAUUUUCGGAGCGGAUCCAGAGCGGAUCUCAGAUCGAAUCCGGAUCUCGGAUAAUAAAUCCCAGGCCCAAUUACUAGACAUUGACCCGGGCGGCCGCAUGGAUUAAACCACAUAACUUGAUCUUUUUGAAUUUAAUUAACACUUUUGAAAGUUAAAAACAUACUUUGAAGUUAGUAAACAUAAAUAUUUGAAAUCUCAUAAUUAUCACCAAAUAAUUUAUGAUUUUUAUCGAGGACCUCCAAUAUUGACUAAUACACAUGAAUUAAUAAGAAAAUAUUAAAAAGUCAUUUUAAUUGUAGAGAAAAUGAAAGUUUAUCAAACAUUGACGUAUAAGUCUUCUAUUUAGGUCAUUUUUGCAAUUGCAAAUUUUUGAAUAAAAACUUCUUAAGAAGUCUACUCUGCAGAAGAUACCUUGAGAAGUCUUCCUUUGUAAAUAUUAGCUUAAUUCUGAAUUUGAAAAAUUCUCGAAAAUGCCAGAGAAGACUUCUCGAGAAGUCUUCUCGGAUAAACAUGUUAGUUUUGCAAUUGACUGAAGUUUGUCAGAAACUUAACUUUUUACAGAAGACUUCUAUAUAAGUCUUCUGAAAGCCUUCUCAAUGUCACAAGAAAUCUACAUGAAAUACUUUUGCAAUUGACUAUAUUUGACUUUUCGAGAGAAGACUUCUAGAGAAGUCUUCUCUUGUAACCAAAGGUUUGACCAAAACCCGAAAUAAAAUUUGAGAAGACUUCUCAAGAAGUCUUCUCAUUAAUAUUAAAUGUUUCACUAAUAUUUUUCAAUUGCAAAAGUAACCCACGCAGACUUCUUUCGACAGUGAGAAUGCUUCGGGAAAACUGUUAGAGGACUUCUAUAGAAGUUUUUCCCGAGAAGUCUUUUAUAAAAAGUCCAAUUUCUGACAAACUUUGGUCAAUUGCAAAACUAACAUAUUUAUCUGAGAAGAAUUCUCAAGAAGUCUUCUUUGGGAUUUUCGGUUUAUUCUUUUAAUAAAGGAAAGUUAGAAGACUUUUAGGGAAGUCUUCUUGAUGGAGAACACAUCUAGCGAAGUCUUCUGAAAGUCUUUGCGAACAGAUCUGAGAAAAGAAAUGAUUUCAUACUUUGAGCAUGUGAGAUUACUUGCUUUGUUUCUCCAAACACCCAUAACUUCACUAUAAAAGCUACCAAGUCGUUAAUGACCAUGAAUCAUGAGCUUCAAGGUCUCUACGAAACUUACAAAGCUUGGAAUCAAAAUCUAAGGUUUUUUGGAUGAAUUUGAAGAGAGAGUGAAAGAUAUGUGAUUUGUGUGCAUAAUUAAUAAGAUAUGAAGAGUUAAAAUCGAAACUUUGGUGCAUUAAGAGCUUCAAAUUAGUUUUUAGAUGGUGGUUAGUGUAUUGAUGACAAUGACAAUAUUGUAAAUAUUUGGUGAAGAUGGGGAUGUAAAAUAAAAAAGAAGAAAAAAAGAAAGAAAAAGUGACAUUUUCGUGAAUAACUCGAAUUUCUAAGGUGAAUAAGAAAAAGAAAGUUUAAAAAAAAGCAUGGGUUAUUUUUGUGUUUGACUUGAAAUUUUAGGUCAUAUUUGAAAAAAGCCAUUUAUUAAUUUAAUAUAAUUUUAUCAUAUUUAGCUCAAUACAAUAAUUUUCUUUUAAUAUGAAUGAUUAUGAUUAUAUAAUAAUAUUUCAAAACUAAUUAUAAAAUUAGUGAAAAUAUUUACAUAUAAUUUUUGAAAAUUAAGAUCUUGUUAAAAGGGAGAAUUUUACUUCUACACUUUCUUUGGUACCACAUUUCAAGUAUACCACUAGUAUGAAGACAUUUUCACAAAUACACUUUUCAUUAAUGACCAAAAGACCAUACUAGCCCUAACCUUAUCUCUCUCUCGCGAUCCUCUUUUCUUUCUCUCUCUCUCUCUCGCGAUCUUUUUUCUUCCUCUCUGCCUCCGAUUCACCGGAGAUCCACCAUCUCUCUCUCAUUCCACCGGUUCUCUGCGGUUCACUCUGCGGUUCACUCUGUCGACUCCUACUUCUGUACAAGAUUCCCAACUGAGCGGUAGAAUCCAAUGAGAUGUGGAAGACUCAGGAGCAAGAAAACGAAAGGCUCAAAAUAAAAUCAAGAGAGGAAAGCAGCAGCAGCAGUAGCCAAAUGAAGUGGAGUAGUAGUUUCUCGAAAAGGAGUUUGGAUAAGAAAUGUAGCUCCAUUAACGAGGAGAGAAAGAUCACUCAUCAAUCAUCAUUGGACAAAAGAUUGUACUUGGAUGAUGAUGAUGAAGGUUUAGGAGAUGAUGAGAAUUGAGUCUUUUCUCCAAUCACGGUAUAUAUGUCUAUUUGCUAUAGCUUCUGUUACCUUUAGCUUCCUUCAUCUUCUGAGUCUCUUUGUAAAUGACAGGAACAAACGUGGGAGAGGCUCUGUUGGUCCUAGGAUGGAUGAAAAUGUCCCUUAUCUUCCCACCGAGAAGGUUGAUCAAUUGCAAAGUUCUGAUACAAGGGAAAGGAAGGUAGUCUUGCUGCAGCUUGGGCUCUAGCUAAUCUAUAUUAUCUUGCAUGUUAGAAAGCUCUUAUAAGGGUUUAUAAAACUAUUUAUAAGAACUUAUAAAUCAUUUUUAAGGUUUUAAAAAUAUAUUUAUAAAAGUUUAUGAAUCUGUAUAUAAGGUUUGUAAAAAUAUUAUAAGAGUUUAAUAAUCUUCAUAACACAAUUUAUAAGAGUUAAUAAAUCUUUUUCAAGAGUUUAUAAAUCUUUACAAACAUUUAGAAGUAAAAUAUUCAUAAAGCUAUUAUAAGUGUCUAUAAUUCUAAUAUAAAUGUUUGUAAAUUAUUUAUAGUAAAUAAAAGAUUAUUUAUAAUAGUUUAUAAAACAAUUAAUAAGACUUUAUAAAAUCAGUCUAUAAGGUUUUUUAAAUAUAUUAUUAAAGUAUAAUUCAUUUAUAAGAGUUUAUAAAAUCCGUUUAUAAGGAUUAUAAAUAAUUAAUAAAUGUUUAUGAAUGAUUUAUGAAGAUUUAGAAAUCAUUUAUAAACCUUUAUCAAUAGUUUAUAUAUAUUCCUCAUGUGGUGGAAAACAGCGAGAUGAUGUAGCAGAGGUUUGUGGGGAUAUUGAGUUUGCUGUAUAGUUCUUAGCUAAGAAUAAGAGCGAGUGUCUCCAAGAAGAAUGGGGAGUGUUGGAGAAGUCUCCGGAGGCGGCUUUAGAUGUGGAUCAGACGAUCUUCAUGGUUACGGCGGAAGACGUGGAGAGGAGCAAAACGACGGUGUUAUGGACAGCAAGAAACUUCUCCAGCAAGAAGAUUUGCUUGCUUUACGUCCAUCGUCCUGCUUGGCCUGCCUCCUGCAGUGAGAAUCUUAUGCUUCUCUUUCUCUCUGACUUAACUGUUUUGUGGUGAAUUAUAGAAUAUUUAUGGAUGUUGAAUUGUUCUUGAGUGUAGAUUUGCUCAUGAAUCAUGAUUGAAUCUUACCGAGUCUAUAUAUAUAUCCUUUAGUUGAUUGUGGAUGAUGUUAAUGAUGUACCUCUGUUUGCUAAGAAAAUCUGAGAAAUGAUAUAAUUGUUUUAUAAAGAAGAAGCAGAGAAACUAUAUCAAAUUAUAUCAUCAUAAUAAAAUCCUUAUAAGGCUUUAUAAAGAUAAUAAAUAAUUUAUAAAUAUUUAUAAAUCAUUUAUGAAAAUUCAGAAAUCAUUUAUAAACCUUUAUCAAUAGUUUAUAUAUAUAUUCCUAUAAAUGAUUUAUAAACCUUUAUAAAAUCACUUAUAAGAAUAUACCAAAUAUUUAUAAGGUUUUAUAAAAUCAUUUAUAAAUAUUUAGAAAGGUAAUUUCAUUUAUAAAGUCUUAAAAAUCAUUUAUAAGAUUUUAUAAAUCUUUACAUUUAGAAGUAAAAUAUUCAUAAAGCUAUUAUAAGUUUAAAAAGUAAAAUCGAUGAUAUAAAUACAUGAAGAUGCUCGUUACUAAUUUUCUGAAAAACGAAACUAGAGUAAAUGUAAAGUACAAAUGAUUUACAGCUUACAAUCACUUAUAAGAACACGUGUUAUACAUAUAUAUAUAUAUAUAUAUAUUACAGAAAGACAUGUGUCUUGUUUCUCUUAUAUGUGUUAAAAACAUAUAUAUUACAUAUAAAAACACGUGUCUUAUCUCUCUUUCUGCAACUCCAAUCUUCUUGAAAAUUGUGUUUCCUUCUGAAAACAUAAAAACAUAAGGCUAAAUAUAUAUAUAUUGUUUUACGGUUUCUUUUAUAAGGCCUUAUAAAUAUAAAAAUUGUAAUAAAUACCUCAAGCGGAUUACCUUUAUAAAAUCACUUAUAAAUUUUAUAAGAGCUUAUAAAACCUUGUAUCAACCAUCUAUAAAGUUUUUAAAACAUAUAUAAAUAUUUAUAAGAUUUUAUAAAUCUUUUUCAAGAGUUUAUAAAUCUUUUCAAGAGUUUAUAAAUCUUUUAUAAGAUUUUAUAAAUCUUUACAUUUAGAAGUAAAAUAUUCAUAAAGCUAUUAUAAGUUUAAAAAAUAAAAUCGGUGAUAUAAAUACAUGAAGAUGCUCAUUACUAAUUUUCUGAAAAAAGAAACUAGAGUAAAUGUAAAGUACAAAUGAUUUACAGCUUACAAUCACUUAUAAGAACACGUGUUACACAUAUAUAUUACAGAAAGACAUGUGUCUUGUUUCUCUUAUAUGUGUCAAGAACAUAUAUAUUACAUACAAAAACACGUGUCUUCUCUCUCUUUCUGCAACUCCAAUCUUCUUAAAAAUUGUGUUUCCCUAUGAAAACAUAAAAAUAUAAGGCUAAAUAUAUAUAUAUAUAUAUAUAUUGUUUUACGGUUUCUUUUAUAAAACCUUAUAAAUAUAAAAAUUGUAAUAAAUACCUCAAGGGGGUUACCUUUAUAAAAUCACUUAUAAAUUUUAUAAGAGCUUAUAAAACCUUGUAUCAACCAUCUAUAAAGUUUUUAAAACAUAUAUAAAUAUUUAUAAAACUAUUUAAAAGGGUUUAUAAAACUAUUUACAAGAACUUAUAAGCUAUUUAUAAGAGUUUUUACAUUUAUUUAUAAGUGUUCAUAAAUUAAUUUACAAGGUUUAUAAAUCUAUUUAUAAGAGUUUAUAAAUCACCAAAUUAACCAACUUUUCACUAUUUCUUUGCUUAUUAAGGAACAUCAUUCUUUUACAGUUUCUUUUAUAAGGCCUUAUAAAAAAGUAUAAUUGAGUAUUGAGAUGAUUGAGUAUUGAGAGAUACUUGAGGUUUCUGAAUUUAUAAUGGUUUAUAAAAAUUUAUAAAGGGUUUACAAAACCACAAUGUUAGAUGAACGUCUCAGUUCUGCAGAUGCACAUAAUGUAUCCAGACCAGAUAUAUAGCCUUCUAGGACCUUUCUCACAGCAAUAGCAAAAGCCUGAUUAACAAGAGUAUAGUGGCUCUUGUUAUUGGCUUCUUCAUUUUCACCUACUUUACAGCUCCCCCAUGUCCCUCAACUUCCAACUUGAAGUUCAUGAAAUGGGUCUACGAAGUUAUGGAGAAGAAAGACCAAAGAACCAAAACAGCCUAUGUUUCAAAGAAUCUGUCCCAAGGCGUCAGUGCUUGAUAACCGAUGCCACAAGCUCAGACUUUUGUGGGUUGUCCUAUCAGCUGGCUCAGAGCAUAAUCCAUAAGAGAGCUUCUGUAUGCUAAUAAGAGAAGAACACCUUGCAGGGCAUUCAACGCCAACCUAACCAAACUUAAUUCCUAUUAAAAAGCAACAAAAUUGUGAGAGAAUGUGGCCAAAAGUAGAAGUAGUCUCAAUAUACUUCUUUCAUUUCAUCUAAGCACUAAAGAUAUUCCAUUGUUCUGUAAUUGAUUACUAAGAAUAGAAAUCUGAGAACAUGACAUCGUAAUCUACCCUAAGAUAAUGAUUUCGUCGUAACUCAAUACAGUACAUCGAGUACUAAACUCAAAUCAAUAAAAUUGAUACUUCUUUUCCCCCAAAUCAUUUCCUAUUAGGUUUCCGAUCCUAGCCACUCAAGUGAAAUGCAAAGCUCAUGUUUCCACGCAUACAAACAUGAAAAGCGUAAAUGGUGAACUUACAGAGGCAAAUGAAGAAGACGGAGGAGAAGCACGAGUUGGAAGAGGAAAUUGGCAGCUCUAAGAAUGUAAGGACUCUCAAUUACUUGGUGGAAGGUAAAUCUCCUCCUGUUUGAGCUUCUCCAUAAGCGAAUCAAUGCUCGUCGCCACCGUCAUUAUUUCUCAAUCGAGGAGAAAGUGAGAGAUCGUCUUGUUCGCCUGAGCUUGUAGAGUUUUUCAGUUUCGUCGGAGAAUUCGUCAGCGCCGUCCGGAGAACUCGUCAGGAUCGUCGGAUUUGAUCACCGUCGAAUUCGAAAUCAAUCUGGAAACUCUCAGAUUUGGAAUUGAGGGAGAACGAGAGUAAUUUAGGUUUAAUUAUUCAGGGGUAUAAUGGUACUUUGUCUAUUAAAAUUUUAAUGGUAAAGUUGAAAAGUGUAAAGUUGAAAAGUGGUAUUAGGAAAGUGGUAUUAGUGGCAAUUCUUUUGAAAUAGAUUUGUUAGAUUUUUAAAAAUAUAUAUUUUUAUAUUUAAAAUAAAAAGAUAUCAAAAGAUGUUAUAAUUAAAUUUCUAAAGGAUGGUCCAUAUUAAAAGAAAAUCACACAUGAAAGAAGUCAUGACGUCUAUUUUAAUAGAAUUGAUGUCCCAUCUUUAUAAUAUAAAGAACUUUUUAGUUUUUACUAGUAUCUCAUAUAUAUUAAUUGAGAAACAUUGCAUCUUCUUUUUGUAGCCAUGUGUUAUGAUUAUGAUGAUUCUUAAAAUCAUUAGCGAUAUAUGUUGGUUUAUCUAAUUAUAUAAUAGUUUUUUUAUUGAACCAACCAUAAAUUCAUUAUUAGUGUUUUUAUUAUUUUUUAAAAUAAAAGUUACAUAAUUGCCUAAUAUGGCUAAAAUAUAUAUGAGAAUUAAUGAUUUUGAAUAAUAAAGAUUUGAUAAAAA